UCGGCCGCCGCGGCCGCUGCUGGCAGAGGAAGGGGAAGGGAGGGGAGGGGAGAGGGAAACCUCGCCGUGGCGUUCGUAGUCUCGCCACACGCUGGCUCAGCGAAGAGAACUGAUUUGUUGAGAGUGUGGCGCGCGCUCUGCUGCGCACUUGACCCGCGCGACCCUGCCUGGUCCUCGCAGUGACCCUGAGGGGCUAGGGGUUAUCUCUGGCUGACCACGAGAUUACGGAGAGAUACAGGACUGAGGACCGUGGAGGUUAUGUGACAUGGCCGAGAUUUCGUAAUUGACGCAUAACCAAGUCUGGCUUCAAAUUCAAGCACAAAUCUGGCUCCACUCUUCAAGCACCUUUCCCUGUGCCUGCUCCCUUUCUGGACCAUGGAGGCCAACAGUGUCCACAGAUAAAUACAAUACAAUGCAAAAGCGCACCUGAGAACAGCAUGCAGGUCAGCUCUCACGAUUGCAGCAUUUCCUGUUCCAAGGCAGACUUGCGGCGAGCUCUCAGAACGGCUGUGUAGGAUGAUGCGUUCCACAACCCUUGUCUGAGUCACCUGGAUAUUCCUCUACCCCUCCCUGCCAUGAAGCAGCAUGCACAGUGAGCAUUUACUGGAAGCACCACGUGUGAUGUCCACGUGACCUACCGUGUAUAGGUAAUGUUUUCUGUGCCCCCGUACUUGAAAGAUCAUCAUAAAAUCACACUGGUGGAGACUUUUUGUGAAGGGAAAAGAAACAGUUUAGGU